CCUAUUGGUGGCAGUAUUGGAAUUUUUGGUCCUAUGAAGCUGAAAUAAUUUAACUCGAAUUAGGGGCCUGGAAACGAGUUUAUUGUUUGAUCAGUUACGGUUCUAACAAUUGAACAAUGUUCAAUAGUAUUUCCAAGUCAAAGCACUUCGAUUUUUUUUCAGACUCUGGUUGUGUACGUGCAAGUUAUCGGUACCUCUGAAGAUCCAGAACGAGACGGCGAACACAAAGGCCUGCGAAGGUAGCAUUAGCGCGUUAGAAGGGGGCAGACGGGAGGUAAACAAUUAUUACAAUAAUUGCGGGGGCACCUUUUAAGUGGCAACGUGACUUUAGAUUUGGAUAUUUUAUAUAUUUUGUCGAUAUUCUCCUACCUGGCAUGCUUACAUUUGACAAUAUUUAGCUAGCAAGCUAUAUGCGGGCCUGCUCUGAAAAUUAGAUGACUACCUAGCACAUUUCAGCUGACAUUCAAAACAAUAUUUUACAAGCAGGUUGGCAUUAUAUAAGCCAAAUUUAACUACCUAUAUAUUGGAACUUGUUUGUUAGAAGCCUGUUAAUUACUUUGAGUCCUUAUGUCUUGCCUUGAACAGGCAUAUCUGGGCAAAGAACAUCCAAUGUAGCAUAAUCAACGACAAAACAUGUUUAUAUUCAUCACAUGCUUAACGUUAGUGAUAUAGUUGUCACCCAGACACACAGUACAGUUCACCACCCCUUUAUUCUCUGGAGUAUCAGCCCAGCUCAGGCACCUUGGCAGAAUGUACCCAAUGGAUCCAGAGAGGCGCAGUCACCAGAGGGAGUAUGAAGAACCAGAGACAUGCAGUCAGCGGGAGGAGUAUGAAGAACCAGAGACAUGCAGUCACCAGAGGGAGUACGGAGAACCAGAGACAUGCAGUCACCAGAGGGAGUAUGAAGAACCAGAGACAUGCAGUCACCAGAGGGAGUAUGGAGAACCAGAGACAUGCAGUCACCAGAGGGAGUACGGAGAACCAGAGACAUGCAGUCACCAGAGGGAGUACGAAGAACCNGGAGAACCAGAGACAUGCAGUCACCAGAGGGAGUACGAAGAACCAGAGACAUGCAGUCACCAGAGGGAGUAUGAAGAACCAGAGACAUGCAGUCACCAGAGGGAGUACGAAGAACCAGAGACAUGCAGUCAGCGGAAGGAGUAUGGAGAACCAGAGACAUGCAGUCACCAGAGGGAGUAUGGAGAACCAGAGACAUGCAGUCAGCGGAGAGAGUAUGGAGAACCAGAGACAUGCAGUCAGCAGAGAGAGUAUGGAGAACCAGAGAGAUGCAGUCAGCGGAGGGAGUACAGAGAACCGAGUUCAGGGCAAUGGGACUAUGGCCUUGAGAUGAGAGGCAACUGCCAGGCUAUGGCCAGAGAUCUCUACAGUGAAUACUCUAGCAUGAGGAGGACUAGAGAAGAUUGGGAGGACUAUGGUGCUUCCUCUGAUAUGAGCUACACAAUGGACCCAUCGUCCAGAGACUGGAGCGAAGGCUCAUUGUGGGGUAGUGCUGCUCCCUUCUCCCCAGACACAGAUGGGGAGGUUGAUGGAGAUCCUGUGGAGCUCAGUGUGGAGGACCUGGAGCUCCUUCGGAACAGGAUGGAGCUGGAGAUCAUCGAGGAACAGAUUGCCCUUAAAAAAGCUGUUCUUGCCAUGGAAUUGGUUGGGCCUGAAUCAAAGGCCAUCUGUAAACAGAAGACGAAGGACAAGGACCUUGAAGUGUUAACAACAAAUGUUUCCAAUAAAGAUGUUACUCUUAAAGAGAGGGUGAAUUGCAUUUUGAGAAAGCGGGCAUGGACCAAUGAAUGUCGCUCAAAGGAGGCUGCCAACCAGAAGGUCCCUCCCAAGCUUGUUCUCCAUCCGCCCAAAGUGGUCAAAAGCUUUGUGGAACGGAUGAACGAGUCCAUCCUGCACAAAGACAGCAGUUUGAAGAGCAGCCUUACCCUGGACGUCCAUGAAGAGGAGCAUCCUCUGAAACUCAAAGUGGAGGCUUUAUUGGCGCAGCGACACAAUUCCACGGUGAAUAAGGAGGACAAAGCAGCCAAGGGCUUCCAGCACUUCCUCGAUGUCCUCAACAAAGGGGUGGACAUCGACAGGCUCUCAAAGAUUGUCAACAAUUUCAAGGAUUUACCCUCUAUGGGAGAGGAGCUGCCACAAGGUCAGCCGCCUCCACUUCAUGGCCAGCCCGAGACCAACUCUAAGAAUGAGAGGAAGGUGCCCUCUCGCAAAAGGCGCUCCCGAUUUGAUGAGUUCCCACAAGGUUCGUUCAAUAUACUCUGGGGUCAGCCCACACUACUCGGGGUUCAGCCCAAUCCGUUUGGGGAUCUGUUGCGUCAAGUGGCCCAAGCAGGUAACGUUCUGCCACAGCACCGCAGUCUCUUACAAAAUGGAGGAGGAGAGAUUGGGCAACAUAGCCUUAGCUUAGGCUUCAUCCAGGCUAUGGAUAGCCCAAAAAACAAAAAGCCCAAGUCUACACAGGUGGAUGAGACGACUCUAGUUGAGGAGAAGACGAAGGUGAGGCUUGAGGAUGAUGAGCAGCGGCACGAGCAGAUCAGAACCCUGCUGGAGAUCGUUGGCUGGACUUGGGGGUUGAGGAGUUGGGUUCAGCUGGACAGACAGGACCAAAUGACAAGGCUGUAUGGGAAGAUGGGAGACUUAAAAAGGAAGGAGUUCGAGAAUGAGAAAGGGGAAAGAGAAAAGGGAAAGCGAGCCCUCAUUAAAACAUCUUAGUACUGUCCUCAUUACCAUCAGACAGCGCGCAGCCCCUUCUAACCCAGCACUCAAACAUGACCGGUGAAUACAGCAA
rnacentral:lncRNA from 1 species